GACGAACGCUGGCGGCGUGCUUAACACAUGCAAGUCGAACGGAAAGGCCCCUUUGGGGGUACUCGAGUGGCGAACGGGUGAGUAACACGUGAGUAACCUGCCCUUGACUUCGGGAUAACUUCAGGAAACUGGGGCUAAAACCGGAUAGGAAUCCUUGCUGCAUGGUGGGGGUUGGAAAGCUUCGGCGGUUUUGGAUGGACUCGCGGCUUAUCAGCUUGUUGGUGGGGUAGUGGCUUACCAAGGCUUUGACGGGUAGCCGGCCUGAGAGGGCGACCGGCCACAUUGGGACUGAGAUACGGCCCAGACUCCUACGGGAGGCAGCAGUGGGGAAUAUUGCACAAUGGGCGGAAGCCUGAUGCAGCAACGCCGCGUGCGGGAUGACGGCCUUCGGGUUGUAAACCGCUUUCAGCAGGGGCGAAGCUUUUGUGACGGUACCUGCAGAAGAAGCACCGGCUAACUACGUG
rnacentral:rRNA from 1 species